GGGUAUAUCUCAGUGGUAGAGUGCUUGUCUAGCAUGCAUGAAGCCUUGGGUUCAAUUCCCAACAUUCA
rnacentral:tRNA from 1 species